rnacentral:rRNA from 1 species
CCUACGGGGGGCAGCAGUGAGGAAUAUUGGUCAAUGGGAGAGAUCCUGAACCAGCCAAGCCGCGUGAGGGAAGACGGCCCUAUGGGUUGUAAACCUCUUUUGUCGGGGAACAAAACCCGGGACGAGUCCCGUACUGCGUGUAUCCGAAGAAAAAGCAUCGGCUAACUCCGUGCCAGCAGCCGCGGUAAUACGUAGGGAGCGAGCGUUGUCCGGAAUUACUGGGUGUAAAGGGAGCGUAGGCGGGACUGUAAGUAGGGUGUAAAAUCUACGGGCUCAACCGGUAGCCGCACUUGAAACUGCAGUGCUUGAGUGAAGUAGAGGCAGGCGGAAUGCCUAGUGUAGCGGUGAAAUGCGUAGAUAUUAGGAGGAACACCAGUGGCGAAGGCGGCCUGCUGGGCUUUUACUGACGCUGAGGCUCGAAAGUGUGGGGAGCAAACAGGAUUAGAUACCCCAGUAGUC